GACGAACGCUGGCGGCGUGCUUAACACAUGCAAGUCGAACGGAAAGGCCCUGCUUUUGUGGGGUGCUCGAGUGGCGAACGGGUGAGUAACACGUGAGUAACCUGCCCUUGACUUUGGGAUAACUUCAGGAAACUGGGGCUAAUACCGGAUAGGAGCUCCUGCUGCAAGGUGGGGGUUGGAAAGUUUCGGCGGUUGGGGAUGGACUCGCGGCUCAUCAGCUUGUUGGUGGGGUAGGGGCUUACCAAGGCUUUGACGGGUAGCCGGCCUGAGAGGGUGACCGGCCCCAUUGGGUCUGGGAUGCGGCCCAGACUCCUACGGGACGCAGCAGUGGGGAAUAUUGCACUAUGGGCGGAACCCUGAUGCAGCAACGCCGCGUGCGGUGUGUCGGCCUUCGGGUUGUAAACCGCUUUCGCCUGUGACGAAGCGUGAGUGACGGUAAUGGGUAAAGAAGCACCGGCUAACUACGUG
rnacentral:rRNA from 1 species